GACGAACGCUGGCGGCGUGCUUAACACAUGCAAGUCGAACGGAAAGGCCUCAGCUUGCUGGGGUACUCGAGUGGCGAACGGGUGAGUAACACGUGGGUGAUCUGCCUUGCACUCUGGGAUAAGCUUGGGAAACUGGGUCUAAUACCGGAUAUGAACUGCCUUUAGUGUGGUGGUUGGAAAGUUUUUUCGGUGCAAGAUGAGCUCGCGGCCUAUCAGCUUGUUGGUGGGGUAAUGGCCUACCAAGGCGUCGACGGGUAGCCGACCUGAGAGGGUGUACGGCCACAUUGGGACUGAGAUACGGCCCCGGCUCCUACGGGAGGCAGCAGGGGGGAAUAUUGCACAAUGGGCGGAAGCCUGAUGCAGCGACGCCGCGUGGGGGAUGACGGCCUUCGGGUUGUAAACUCCUUUCGACAGGGACGAAGCUUUUUGUGACGGUACCUGUAUAAGAAGCACCGGCUAACUACGUG
rnacentral:rRNA from 1 species